CCUACGGGAGGCAGCAGUGAGGAAUAUUGGUCAAUGGGAGAGAUCCUGAACCAGCCAAGCCGCGUGAGGGAAGACGGCCCUAUGGGUUGUAAACCUCUUUUGUCGGAGAACAAAACCCGGGACGUGUCCCGGACUGCGUGUAUCCGAAGAAAAAGCAUCGGCUAACUCCGGGCCAGCAGCCGCGGUAAUACGGAGGAUGCGAGCGUAAUCCGGAUUGAGUGGGUGUAAAGGGUGCGUAGGCGGUCCGUUAAGUCAGCGGUAAAAUUGCGGGGCUCAACCCCGUCGAGCCGUUGAAACUGGGAGGCUUGAGUUGGCGAGAGGUACGCGGAAUGAGCGGUGUAGCGGUGAAAUGCAUAGAUAUCGGGCAGAACUCCGAUUGCGAAGGCAGCGUACCGGCGCCAGACUGACGCUGAGGCACGAAAGCGUGGGGAUCGAACAGGAUUAGAUACCCCUGUAGUC
rnacentral:rRNA from 1 species